GGUCGGCUUCGUCUCUGCUCAUCAUAUUUAUGUGUUAAUGUUCGGCUAGAGGAAGGACGUCCAGGUGGGCGACCCCAUGCACGCCAAGAAGGUCAUCUUCGACGCCAUCUCCCACAACAGUCCCGUCGCUCUCUACGACUGUCACGGCAUGAAGGGCAACCAGCUGUGGCGCUACAGAAAAGACAAGAGCCUGUUCCACCCGGUCAGAAACAGCUGCGUGGUCAACCGCGCCUCCAUCUGAGGCCGCUGAACUGAUGCUGCUGGGAAAACAAGGAUCUUCACAUCGCCUCUGCUUCCCCCUGUUUUCUCUAUUUUUUUUAAAAGACAGCUGCUUCUCUUUGGGAAGAAUAUUUUUUUUCUACCGACGUUGCACCUGUAAAAGUGUAUUUAGACGAUUAACCUCAGCCUCAACCGCGGAACUGGAAUUGUGUGAUAUUUUACUUUCUCUUCUGGAAAUUGUGAAAAGAAAU